rnacentral:rRNA from 1 species
GGCGCGGCCGGUGUGGGGUGGGGGGGGCGUAAGCUGAGGCCGACAGGCGUAGGCGAUGGAUAACAGGUUGAUAUUCCUGUACCACCUAUAAUCGUUUUAAUCGAUGGGGGGACGCAGUAGGAUAGGCGAAGCGUGCGAUUGGAUUGCACGUCUAAGCAGUAAGGCUGAGUAUUAGGCAAAUCCGGUACUCGUUAAGGCUGAGCUGUGAUGGGGAGAAGACAUUG